UGGCGGCAUGCNUAACACAUGCAAGUCGAACGAAGGCUUCGGCCUUAGUGGCGCACGGGUGCGUAACGCGUGGGAAUCUGCCCUUGGGUUCGGAAUAACUCAGAGAAAUUUGAGCUAAUACCGGAUGAUGACGUAAGUCCAAAGAUUUAUCGCCCAGGGAUGAGCCCGCGUAAGAUUAGCUAGUUGGUGGGGUAAAGGCCUACCAAGGCGACGAUCUUUAGCUGGUCUGAGAGGAUGAUCAGCCACACUGGGACUGAGACACGGCCCAGACUCCUACGGGAGGCAGCAGUGGGGAAUAUUGGACAAUGGGCGAAAGCCUGAUCCAGCAAUGCCGCGUGAGUGAUGAAGGCCUUAGGGUUGUAAAGCUC
rnacentral:rRNA from 1 species